rnacentral:rRNA from 1 species
ACGGAAGGCAGCAGUGGGGAAUAUUGGGCAAUGGGCGAAAGCCUGACCCAGCAACGCCGCGUGAAGGAAGAAGGUCUUCGGAUUGUAAACUUCUUUUAUGUAGGACGAAGAAAGUGACGGUACUACAUGAAUAAGCCACGGCUAACUACGUGCCAGCAGCCGCGGUAAUACGUAGGUGGCAAGCGUUAUCCGGAUUUACUGGGUGUAAAGGGCGCGUAGGCGGGGAUGCAAGUCAGAUGUGAAAUCCAUGGGCUCAACCCAUGAACUGCAUUUGAAACUGUAUCUCUUGAGUGCUGGAGAGGUAGAUGGAAUUCCUAGUGUAGCGGUGAAAUGCGUAGAUAUUAGGAAGGACACCAGUGGCGAAGGCGGUUAGCUGGACAGUAACUGACGCUGAGGCGCGAAAGCGUGGGUAGCAAACAGGAUUAGAUACCCUGGUA